rnacentral:rRNA from 1 species
UACGGGGGGAGCAAGCGUUGUUCGGAUUUACUGGGCGUAAAGGGCGCGUAGGCGGUCAGCACAAGUCAGUUGUGAAAUCUCCGGGCUUAACUCGGAAAGGUCAACUGAUACUGUGCGACUAGAGUGCGGAAGGGGCAACUGGAAUUCUCGGUGUAGCGGUGAAAUGCGUAGAUAUCGAGAGGAACACCUGCGGCGAAGGCGGGUUGCUGGGCCGACACUGACGCUGAUGCGCGAAAGCCAGGGGAGCGAACAGG